UACGGAGGAGGCAAGCGUUAUCCGGAAUUAUUGGGCGUAAAGCGUCCGCAGGUGGCACCUCAAGUCUGCUGUCAAAGACCGGGGCUUAACCCCAGAAAGGCAGUGGAAACUGAAGCGCUAGAGUGCAGUAGGGGUAGAGGGAAUUCCCGGUGUAGCGGUGAAAUGCGUAGAGAUCGGGAAGAACAUCGGUGGCGAAAGCGCUCUACUGGACUGCAACUGACACUCAGGGACGAAAGCUAGGGGAGCGAAUGGG
rnacentral:rRNA from 1 species